CUCCUUCAAGAGCUAAGCCACAGAGUGCCGGAGAUAAGCGCCGGAUGGAGCAA
rnacentral:sRNA from 1 species